rnacentral:rRNA from 1 species
GACGAACGCUGGCGGCGCGCUUAACACAUGCAAGUCGAACGGAAAGGCCUGCUUUCCCUUGUGGAUUGCGGGUACUCGAGUGGCGAACGGGUGAGUAACACGUGAGUGAUCUGCCCCCAACUUGGGUAUAAGCCUGGGAAACUGGGUCUAAUUCCCGAUAGGACUGCAGGGUGGUGCCUGUGGUGGAAAACGAUUUUCUAGUGGUUGGGGAUGAGCUCGCGGCCUAUCAGCUUGGUGGUGGGGUAAUGGCCUACCAAUGUGGCGACGGGUAGCCGGCCUCGGAGGGUGGACAGCCACAUUGGGACUGAGAUACGACCCAUACGCCUACGAGAGGUAGGAGUGGUGAAUAUUGCACAAUGGGCGGGAGCCUGACGCAGCGAGGCCGCGUGGAGGAUGACGGCCUUGUGGAUGUAAACUCCUUUCGACCGCGAGGAAGGCACCUGGUUGGAGGGGUGGUGACGGUAGUGGUAGAAGAAGCACCGGCUAACUACGUG